rnacentral:rRNA from 1 species
CGGGGUGCACCAGGCGCGAAACCUCUGCAAUAGGCGAAAGCCUGACAGGGUUACUCUGAGUGAUUUCCGUUAAGGAGAUCUUUUGGCACCUCUAAAAAUGGUGCAGAAUAAGGGGUGGGCAAGUCUGGUGUCAGCCGCCGCGGUAAUACCAGCACCCCGAGUGGUCGGGACGUUUAUUGGGCCUAAAGCAUCCGUAGCCGGUUCUACAAGUCUUCCGUUAAAUCCACCUGCUUAACAGAUGGGCUGCGGAAGAUGCUAUAGAGCUAGGAGGCGGGAGAGGCAAGCGGUACUCGAUGGGUAGGGGUAAAAUCCGUUGAUCCAUUGAAGACCACCAGUGGCGAAGGCGGCUUGCCAGAACGCGCUCGACGGUGAGGGAUGAAAGCUGGGGGAGCAAACCGGAUUAGAUACCCGGGUAGUCCCAGCUGUAAACGAUACAGACUCGGUGAUGAGUUGGCUUCUUGCCAACUCAGUGCCGCAGGGAAGCCGUUAAGUUUGCCGCCUGGGGAGUACGGUCGCAAGGCUGAAACUUAAAGGAAUUGGCGGGGGAGCAC